rnacentral:rRNA from 1 species
CUUGGUCAUUUAGAGGAAGUAAAAGUCGUAACAAGGUUUCCGUAGGUGAACCUGCGGAAGGAUCAUUAUCGAGUUACUAUUGACUUUGAUGCUGGCCGCUUGUGGCAUGUGCUCGAGUCUUUAAAUCCACUCAACCACUGUGCACUAAUUCGAAGCUUUGCGGUUCAGGCUCCCUUCGGGUUGAGUUCGGGCUUGCGGGGUUUUCGAGCUUCAUACAAACCACUAUAUUGUCAUGUCGAAUGUAAUACUUUAAUAAAAUACAACUUUCAACAACGGAUCUCUUGGCUCUCGCAUCGAUGAAGAACGCAGCGAAAUGCGAUAAGUAAUGUGAAUUGCAGAAUUCAGUGAAUCAUCGAAUCUUUGAACGCACCUUGCGCUCUUUGGUAUUCCGAAGAGCAUGCCUGUUUGAGUGUCAUGUAAUCAUCAAUCCGACUUUGCUUUUUUGUAAAGUCCGGACUUGGAUUUGGAGGUUAUUGCUGGCUUUCCGUCGGCUCCUCUUGAAUGCAUUAGUUGGACUCCGUCGCGGUUCGCGGUGUGAUAAUUUAUUCACUCUUGAACUUCGAAGUAGACCGGCUUCUAACAAACCUUUACUUUUGACCAUCUGGCCUCAAAUCAGGUAGGACUACCCGCUGAACUUAAGCAUAUCAAUAAGCGGAGGA